GUGUCAGCCGCCGCGGUAAUACGAAGGGGGCUAGCGUUGCUCGGAAUUACUGGGCGUAAAGGGAGCGUAGGCGGACAUUUAAGUCAGGGGUGAAAUCCCAGAGCUCAACUCUGGAACUGCCUUUGAUACUGGGUGUCUUGAGUAUGAUAGAGGUAUGUGGAACUCCGAGUGUAGAGGUGAAAUUCGUAGAUAUUCGGAAGAACACCAGUGGCGAAGGCGACAUACUGGAUCAUUACUGACGCUGAGGCUCGAAAGCGUGGGGAGCAAACAGGAUUAGAAACCCCAGUAGUCC
rnacentral:rRNA from 1 species